GACGCGGGAUUUGCCUGACUGAGUGACAGCAGCCGCGGUAAUACGAGUGGUGCAAGCGUUAUUCGGAAUCACUGGGCGUAAAGGGUGUGUAGGCGGCAAAUCAAGUCUGUUGUAAAAUAUCCCAGCUUAACUGGGAGUGUGCGAUGGAAACUGGUUUGAUAGAGGGUGAAAGAGAGAAGUGGAAUUCUCGGAGUAGCGGNAAAAUGCGUAGAUAUCGAGAGGAACACCGAUGGNGAAGGCAGCUUCUUGGUUCACACCUGACGCUGAUACACGAAAGCGUGGGGAGCAAACAGGAUUAGAUACCCUGGUAGUCCACGCCGUAAUACGAUGAUCACUUGAUGUUGGUU
rnacentral:rRNA from 1 species